rnacentral:rRNA from 1 species
GAACUGAAGAGUUUGAUCAUGGCUCAGAUUGAACGCUGGCGGCAGGCCUAACACAUGCAAGUCGAGCGGAUGACGGGAGCUUGCUCCUUGAUUCAGCGGCGGACGGGUGAGUAAUGCCUAGGAAUCUGCCUGGUAGUGGGGGACAACGUUUCGAAAGGAACGCUAAUACCGCAUACGUCCUACGGGAGAAAGCAGGGGACCUUCGGGCCUUGCGCUAUCAGAUGAGCCUAGGUCGGAUUAGCU